CGACAGAGCAAGACUCAUUGAAAUGAUCACCUUGGGUGAGCUUGUAAUACCUCAAUGGCUGGAUGAUGAUCUAAUAGAUCUUCUGGAAAAGCUCCUUACAAAGAAUCCGAGGCGACGGGGAAGCCUUGAAGACGAAUUGGACAACGGAUGGCUGGAAAGGGAGAGAGUCCAGUUCUAUUCGGCAGAGAUGAUAUGCGGCCUGCAGUUCCUGCACAGCAAGGGGAUCAUCCAUCGGUCAGUAUAGAUUUCUUCAUCUCUGUAACAUUCUACAGCAGAGGCCACACUCAGGUUGCUCUGCAAAUCAGCCGCCCUUGCCUUCUUCUUGUGUGUAGUGUAACUCCUUUAAUCUCUUUAUUACAGAGACAUCAAACCCCUCAACAUCUUGUUCGAUCACAAAGGCCAUGCUAGGAUUUCAGACUUCGGCCUGGCUGUACAAAAUGUCUUUAAAGAUGAUACCAUCACUGGCGAGCACGGAACUCUGGCAUACAUGGCCCCGGAGGUAAGACAUGGAAUUACAGUAUAUUUACAGUAGAAACCAAGUAAAAAUAAAUAGUAAAGGAGAAUAUGGCAAGGACAAAAGGACUGUAUCUAGCUCACGCCUAU